rfam:Triticum aestivum genome assembly, contig: Triticum_aestivum_CS42_TGACv1_scaffold_129624_2BL
CUAAUACUCCAUCCGUCCCAAAAUUCUUGUCAUAGAUUUGUCUAAAUACGGAAGUCACAUUUUGACAAAUCUAAGACAAAAAUUUUAGGACGGAGGGAGUAUUAA